rnacentral:rRNA from 1 species
UACGUAGGGGCCAAGCGUUGUCCGGAAUUACUGGGCGUAAAGAGCUCGUAGGUGGUUUGUCGCGUUGUUCGUGAAAACUCACAGCUUAACUGUGGGCGUGCGGGCGAUACGGGCAGACUUGAGUACUGCAGGGGAGACUGGAAUUCCUGGUGUAGCGGUGAAAUGCGCAGAUAUCAGGAGGAACACCGGUGGCGAAGGCGGGUCUCUGGGCCGAUACUGACGCUGAGGAGCGAAAGCGUGGGGAGCGAACAGG